GAUUUCUGGCUAUGGAUGUCCGGCCCGCCUCGCAAGAGGUGUGUUGCUGGUUCUGUCCUGGCCAUCCUUCUGGAGCGCGUAUCUGCCCUUAACUGGGUGUGGUACGAUGGUCCAGAUCUUUUACUUUGAAAAAAUUAGAGUGUUCAAAGCAGGCGUUAAUGCUGUGAAUACAUUAGCAUGGAAUAAUAAGAUAGGGCUUCGGUUCUAUUUUGUUGGUUUCUGGGACUGAAGUAAUGAUUGAUAGGGAUAGUUGGGGGUGCUAGUAUUCAACGGCCAGAGGUGAAAUUCUCGGAUUCGUUGAAGACUAACUAAUGCGAAAGCAUU
rnacentral:rRNA from 1 species